UACAUAGGGUGCAAGCGUUAAUCGGAAUUACUGGCGUAAAGCGUGCGCAGGCGGUUAUGUAAGACAGAUGUGAAAUGCCCGGGCUUAACCUGGGAACUGCAUUUGUGACUGCAUGGCUAGAGUUUGGCAGAGGGGGGUAGAAUUCCACGUGUAGCAGUGAAAUGCGUAGAUAUGUGGAGGAACACCGAUGGCGAAGGCAGCCCCCUGGGUCAAGACUGGACGCUCAUGCACGAAAGCGUGGGGAGCAA
rnacentral:rRNA from 1 species